UAUUCGCCAAUUGAUUUUGUUCUGCCAUCGGCUUCAACGCCCCAGCCGGCUUGUCCAGCGCCCAUGCCUCGGCCGGCCCGUCAGGGUCGCCCAGGUGGGACGCCGGGUGGUGCCCCUAGAAGGACUCACCUGGACUCCAUUACCUUGUUGAUUUCACCUCCUUUAUCUGUCUGUUUCUUUGGUUAGAUCCCUGUUUCAGCAUUAAUGUUGUUGUGUGUUCCUGUCCAGACGCUGUCCUGUCCUGUUCCAUGUCUGUGGUUAAUUAAAUGUUCACUCCCCUGUACCUGCUUGUCAUCUCCAGCAUCGUUCCUGACAGUGACUCCCCAUCACUUACAAAGCCCUAGCUAAAACAGACUCAAAGAUCUAAUGUUGCUGAAAAAUAUAAAAUCCACAUCAGUAGAUACCAACCUACACCAUUAGUCACUACAUAUGGAUCCCACAGCCUCGAGUCUCUAACUGUAAUGAUACAGGUAUCAAGGUGACGGAGGACUAGAAAGUCAAAGAAGAUGAUAAAGUAGUAACCCAUAGUAACUGAUUGAACAAAUGCAUUACAUGUUUGGGUUGCAUUGUAAUCAGAACAUCAUAUCAUAGAUAUUGUCCAAGUCUCUGCUUCUUAAAUGCUGCUGCAUUAGCAAGCAUUUACCAUACAUUUAGCUGUAGUUAAAUUCAUCACAAUAUACGCAUGCACACAGGUUCUCUGGCCGAUUAUAUACUUUAUACUUCCAUUGAAGUAAGAUUUGUCCUUAUUGAUGUUAUAGGGGAAGUUUUAGGGUGUGAAAGAUUGAGGGGGGUUUAUUCCAUGUCAUUGACCACAUGGAUACACUUAGAUAGAUCUUAUUCUGUCUAAAUGAUGAUGCAUCUGUCUACAUUUGGUCUCUAUUUCAGAGGCUGCACAUGGUGUGAUACUGGUCAAUGUAAUCCGACUGAUAAGUUCAACAGUUGUGGUCAUUCUUCUAUUGACUGUGGUGGCUGUUAGUUCCUGCUGUUCAAAAAGAGAGAAAAGAGCCAAGCAGCGAGUGCCCAAGGAAGAUACUUGAGGCACUGAAGCUAAAAAGGACUACGGCAGUAUGUACUAUAAUCUGCCAACCUGGUCCAAUGGUACAAUAUGACGGUGAACGCAGGGGGCAAGUUAGCUUUACAGGGCCAGCCUUUUGUCAAGAAAAUGUGGGAAAUGAAUGAGCAACCUACAAUCAAUAACCAAUGUUACUUUGCUGAAUGGUUAUUUAUAGUACUGUUUUUAGCAUUCUUUGCUAUAAGUUUGUUGUAACAUUACCUGAUGCUAUGGGGUAGUGAUAUUCACUAUGAAGGAAUUCAUUCAGAAUAUAUUGACAGAAUGCUUAAGAAUGUAUAGAUUGUUUAUUGGUAUAAUUAAGAAAUAAGGCAUGAGGGGGUGUGGUUUAUGUCCAAUAUACCACGGCUAACGGCUGUUCUUAUGGAUACCAUAUACAUAUACAAACCCCAGAGGUGACUUAUUUCUAUUAUAAACUGGUUACCAAUGUAAUUAGAGCAGUAAAAAUAAAUGUUU